GCCGCCAUGAGCUUCCUCAAAAGCUUCCCGCCGCCAGAGCCCCCAGCAGCAGCAGCCAGACACCGAGGCCAUGCUGAACGGCAAGGGCCUGGGCACCGACACCCUCUACAUCGCCAAGAGCCGCCUGUCUUGGUUAGAUGGUUCUGGAUUAGGAUUCUCACUGGAAUACCCCACCAUUAGCUUACAUGCGGUCUCCAGGGAUCUAAAUGGCUAUCCUCAAGACACUUGUAUGUUAUGGUGAAUGCCAAAUGGGAAGUGGAGGAGCUGUUCACGACGAUGUGUGAGUGCCAAGCCCUGCACCCUGACCGCGAGGAUGAAGACUCGGAUGCUGACACGGAUGCUUAUGACGAAGAAGCGUAUGAUGUGGAGGCACACGAACAAGGACAGGGGGAUAUCCCUACAUUUUAUACCUAUGAAGAAGGAUUAUCCCAUUAGAAGGAAUGCUCUCUUAGUCUGUGAGCAGUCAGUAUAACAUGGCUGGAGUCCGGACAGAAGAUUCAAUAAGAGAUUAUGAAGAUGGCAUGGAGGUGGAUACCACACCAAUAGUUGCUGGACAGUUUGAGGAUGCAGAUGUUGAUCACCGAAAGGGCUUUAAUCUUCUUUAAGAUUCUGCUUGGAACUGUAGGAGGGAACUCGGUACCUCUUCCACUGUGGAGUGGGGCUGGUGAAAAGCUUUCUUUCCUUCAAAAUUCACUUGAACCAGUUCUUUCUCAAGACAAUGAUACUGAGGCAGGCAGCAGGUUGUCACCAGCAGAAGAAAUUAUGACCUUUAUUAAUAAAGGUGAAUUAACUUAACCAAGGGGUUGCUUGUAGUUUAUCACUUACCCCAAACUUUCUGUGUCUGGUCUUACCUGAGUAGGCCACUACUUCCUGCCUUUGCUGCCCUUCUCUGACCACUAGCGGGACUCUGGUGAAACCCACUGGAGCUUGGGGUGUGAGUAGACAAGGGUGGGGUUUGCAAGAGAGCGUCUGAAGCUGAAAUGCCUCUCUGGUA